rnacentral:tRNA from 1 species
GGAAGAUCUUCGGUCGCUGGUGGGCCGCCCAGUCUUCAAAACUGGUGAAGGUGAUGAGAAAUUGCCUUGGCAGGUUCGAUUCCUGUGAUCUUCCGCCA